GUCAGAUGCCACAUUUUCUCAAGUCACAUAUCAACGGUGGAGAUUGCAUUCAUCAACGUCAACAGCAUCUGUGCCCGUCGAUUUGCUCAGGUUUCUUAACCUUGUUUCCCCAGAAGAUAAUAGAAGAAUAUAUUUUUCCAUAUAAAGGAAAAUUCAUAAAUCAUUUCAUUUCCUUUCUUGACCAACAACAAGACAGCAGCAGCAGCAGCCAUUUCUCUCUCUCAUUUCGAACGCAGACCCCGAAACCCACCAACGAAGAUGAUGAGGAAUAAGAUCAAGAUCAAGAAGAUUGACUACUUGCCUGCAAGGCAGGUGACCUUCUCAAAAAGGAGAAGAGGGCUCUUCAAGAAAGCUGCAGAGCUAUCUGUUCUGUGUGAAUCUGAGGUGGCAGUUGUCAUCUUUUCUGCUACUGGCAAGCUUUUUGAUUAUUCAAGCUCAAGUACCAAGGAUGUUAUUGAAAGGUACAACGCAGACAUAAAUGGUGUCGAAAAAUUGAACAAUCAAGAGAUUGAGCUGCAGCUGGAGAAUGAAAACCACAUCAAACUGAGUAAGGAACUCGAGGAGAAGAGCCGCCAGCUGAGGCAGAUGAAAGGUGAGGAUCUUGAAGGGCUGAAUCUGGAUGAGUUGUUGAAGUUGGAACAACUGGUGGAAGCAAGCCUUGGCCGUGUCAUGGAAACUAAGGAAGAGCUGAUUAAGAGUGAGAUUAUGGCACUUGAAAGAAAGGGAACUGAGCUAGUUGAAGCUAACAACCAGCUAAGGCAGACGGUAAGCAACUACCACAAUCAUAUGGUGAUGUUAUCCGGAGGAAAUACUGGACCUGCGCUUAUGGAUCCGGAGAGGUUGAAUAAUAAUAUUGAAGGUGGAGGAGAAGAAGAAGGCAUGUCAGCUGAAUCUGCUAUCUCCACCACCUGCAACAGUGCUGUCAGUCUCUCUCUUGAAGAUGACUCCUCCGAUGAGGUCACUUUGUCUCUCAAACUGGGAAAGCUUCAGUUGAAGAAUCCCAACACUGAAAGGGGCUGAAAAUGUAGGGGAGAAUUUAUUCCACACCCACUAUGACAGCGUAACCUGCAUAAUACAAGUUAAAACAUCCCCACAAACAAAUGCGUUAAGAAGUGAAGAAAGAUGAAAGUUUACUCUCCUUAUAACUAAAUAAAUAAAGUUGAGGUAUUGUAAGAUAUCAGUAAUUGUGUGUCUUAACUCGACAUAACAUUGAAAAAUAUCAAAGGGAGGGUGACUGUGUGUUGUAUCUAAACCUAUGCGUUACAUGCAAGCUUGAAAUUGCUCUGACUUUGUAUUGUAUUUAAAACUCUGUAUUAAUGCAGCUUGCAUGGUGAGUUAUGUUGAUUUUGAA